rnacentral:lncRNA from 1 species
CGCACCCUUCCCCUGCCGCACCCCGGCAUCCGGCGCUUCCCCACAGAUAUUGGAAGAGGACACGGGGUUUCCCACCGCCACGGAAUUGGACACCAUCAUUAGCAUCUCAGAGGGCUGCAUUACUGGAGCUGGCGGCUGCGUUAGCUGCACUGGUCAGCUAUUUUGCAGAGCGCCUGGCGCUGAAGGGCGGAAAAGUCGCCAGUCUCCGUGCUAGGUGUCAGGAGGCAGGAAUCCUGUAGCUCCUCGCCUCCUGGUGAGGACUUAAAAGAGGUUCGGACAGGUUCAGCCAUAUAUUGGCUUACAAGGCCCAAGUGGAAGAAAACAGAAAUUCUCCAGGCACGGCAGCCGCAGAGGUCUGGAUUCACACCCGAGCCCAGGUCGUGGGAAGAGAACUCCAGGCUGCCGUCCAUCGGCACUGGCACGGCCAACACCAGGCGGGCGCAGCCGGGCCAGCCAGGCCGCGGCUGUCUCCCCUCGGGUAGGGAUCGCACAGCCGGCUGUACCUCCAGAAAGAAAAAUAAGCGCUCCAACCUGCACAAGCAACUAUUUCUCCUCGACUCCUGCUCACCAUCUCCCCCACCCCCUUUUACUUCUCUGCUGGACCAUUUUUUGCAUCUGUGGCUGCCCAACUUGGGAGAUGGCUGGGCUGGGGGAGCCCAAGGGCACCUUGGAGAAGGAGCAGGACCAGGAAGACCCCCGGGACAGUGGGGAUUCCACAGCUGGGUGGUUCUAAGCCACCGGGUGCAUGAAAGGCCACAGGAUGCUGGUCCUGCUGCUACAUGGUGAGUUCCAAGCCUGGUCCUUCUGACCCCCAGCAGACAGCUGCCAG